rnacentral:rRNA from 1 species
GACGAACGCUGGCGGCGUGCCUAAUACAUGCAAGUAGAACGCACAGUUUAUACCGUAGCUUGCUACACCAUAGACUGUGAGUUGCGAACGGGUGAGUAACGCGUAGGUAACCUGCCUGGUAGCGGGGGAUAACUAUUGGAAACGAUAGCUAAUACCGCAUAAUAUUAAUUAUUGCAUGAUAAUUAAUUGAAAGGUGCAAUUGCACCACUACCAGAUGGACCUGCGUUGUAUUAGCUAGUAGGUGAGGUAACGGCUCACCUAGGCGACGAUACAUAGCCGACCUGAGAGGGUGAUCGGGCACACUGGGACUGAGACACGGCCCAGACUCCUACGGGAGGCAGCAGUAGGGAAUCUUCGGCAAUGGACGAAAGUCUGACCGAGCAACGCCGCGUGAGUGAAGAAGGUUUUCGGAUCGUAAAGCUCUGUUGUAAGAGAAGAACGGGUGUGAGAGUGGAAAGUUCACACUGUGACGGUAUCUUACCAGAAAGGGGCGGCUAACUACGUG